AGUGAACGCUGGCGGCAGGCCUAACACAUGCAAGUCGAACGGCAGCACAGUAAGAGCUUGCUCUUACGGGUGGCGAGUGGCGGACGGGUGAGGAAUACAUCGGCAUCUACUUUUUCGUGGGGGAUAACGUAGGGAAACUUACGAUAAUACCGCAUACGACCUACGGGUGAAAGCAGGGGAUCUUCGGACCUUGCGCGUUUGAAUGAGCCGAUGUCGGAUUAGCUAGUUGGCGGGGUAAAGGCCCACCAAGGCGACGAUCCGUAGCUGGUCUGAGAGGAUGAUCGGCCACACUGGAACUGAGACACGGUCCAGACUCCUACGGGAGGCAGCAGUAGGGAAUAUUGGACAAUGGGCGCAAGCCUGAUCCAGCCAUACCGCGUGAGUGAUGAAGGCCUUCGGGUUGUAAAGCCCUUUUGUUGGGGAAGAAAAGCAGCAUAUUAAUACCCCGCUGUUCUGACGGUACCCAAAGAGUAAGCACCGGCUAACUUCGUG
rnacentral:rRNA from 1 species